AUGAUGAAGAACAUAAAGAAUGAGCUAGGGUUUCAGCAGAAUGAGAAAGAGGAAACAUGUGAAGAAGAAAUCGGGACAACAAGUUUGUGUUCUGGGUUCUUUUUUUUUUUUUUUUUUUUUCUAUUUAAGCCAAGCUUCCCAAUUUUUUUUUGUUUUUAUGUUUAUCCUUCAUUUUUUGUUUACCAAUCCCUCUAUUUUAUUCAACUAACUUUAGGGUUGCCCCUGUUUUUGGGAAAUCGGUUGAAGUGGAGGUUGAGACAUUAA